GCCAAGCGUGGUGGCGCAUGCCUGUAAUCCCAGCUACUCAGGAGGCUGAGGCAGGAGAAUCGCUUGAACCCAGGAGGCGGAGGUUGCAGUGAGCCGAGAUCGUGCCAUUGCACUCCAGCCUGGGUGACAGAGCGAGAUUCUGUCUCAA
rnacentral:sRNA from 1 species